AUUAUUAUAACUAUUAUUGCCUAUUUUUUGGUGCCCCCACAGGAGUUGGUGCCCUACGCACAGCGCGUAGUGCGCGUUAUGGGAGCGGCGGCACUGAAUACAAUACAUUUCAAACCGUGAAAGAAAGAGGCAUUUCAACAAAAUGUGGGCAAGGGUGUCAAGAGCACAGAAAAGAAAAGGGGGUCAACCAGCAGUAACCCACCACAUCAGAGAAAAAUGAAUCAAAUGAACCAAACACCUCCGUUUAUGAGCGUGGUCCAGUAGCAACAGAAUCAGAAGUUGAGCUGGUUGAACCUACACUAAAAGAAGAAUUGUCAAGAGUGGGCCUGUAACUUUGGUGUCACUCACAAUGCACUGGACGCUCUACUAAAAGUGCUGAGACGGCAGGGCCACAAGGAGCUCCCCUCUACUGCCAGAACACUACUGGAAACAAAAAGAACAUUUAAAAUGGAAAUGAUAGGAGGUGUUGAGACCAUACAAUACGAUGUUGCGGACCAGCUCAAACGUCAUCUUAAUUAAUAUGUCCCGGACACAACAAAAGAUCUUCGAUCAGUAAACAUCUCCCUCAACACAGCUUGACGGCUUGCCCCUUUUCAAAUAUUCAAACAAAUCCCUCUGGCCAAUUCUUUGCUCCAUCAUUUUGACACCCAAAUCUAUUUCCCCCGCUCCCUCUCCAUUGCCUCAUCUAAAACCCAAGGACUUCACCUUUAUAAGUGGAAUAACAACACAACUAUCUGAACUAAUGCAGGAUGGUCUGGAAUGGAUGGGCAGAUCCCUAAAGGUAGAACUUUGUUUAACCUGUGAUGCCCCUGCUAAGGCCAUGGUGAGAUGCGUGAAGCUGUUUUCAGGGUAUUACGGUUGCGACAAAUGUAAUCAGAAGGGGGCCUGGGAUGGAAGAAUGCUCUUCCCAGAGAUGGACAGUCUCACCUUGAGGACCAAUCAGUCAUUCAGGGAGUGUUGGCAGCCCGAACACCACCAUGCGGAGCGCAUAUCUUCAUUCUGCAGCCUGCUGAUCGAUAUGGUCCAUCAUCCCCAGCUGAUUAUAUGCACCAGUGCUGCCUAGGCGUCAUGGGGAAGCUGCUGCUCCUGUGGAAAAGGGGAAAGACUGAGGUCAGAAUGUCUAGAGCACAAAUUGCACUGGUUAACACACGUCUGGGGGCCCUGAGAAGCGCAAUUUUUUUGGCCACAAGCCAAGGGGACUGGAUGACCUUGACAGCUGGAAGGCUACCGGGGGCAACAGGCCAGUGGCAGAUGAGGUGGAAGACCUAUUGGAGCGGCCACUGGAGACCCUGGAGGUGUUGGGACAGUCGUGCCACAGACUCCAGACAGAUGCCACAUUUAAGAAAAAGAUUAUUCAGUACUUGAGUCGGCAGGCUGGGGUGAGCCUCGGAGACAGAGUGAGGAGAAUGCUGAGAAAGAACAGCAGCAAUGAACUGUGGGGCCACUACAGCAACAAGGGGAGGAAGGGGAAACUGACAUUUUAGGCGCUGCCCAUAAACCAGGCAUUGAUAAGGGCAUGUCUGAAGGCCUAUCCAAAAAUAAAAGAUGCUGACACGUCCGCCCGUGGACGAGGAGGAGGAGGAAGAAGAGGAGGAAGUGGAAGC